rnacentral:misc_RNA from 1 species
GGAACGUAACAAGGUUUCCGUAGGUGAACCUGCGGAAGGAUCAUUCAUAAUAAAGUGUUUUAUGGCACUUUUUAAAAAUCCAUAUCCACCUUGUGUGCAAUGUUAGAUCUCGUCAAUCUUGGCGAGAUUUUUAUACAUCAACUCAUUUUUUAACUAAUUUGUCUGAAAAAUAUUAUGAAUACUUAAUUCAAAAUACAACUUUCAACAACGGAUCUCUUGGCUCUC